AGUGAACGCUGGCGGUAGGCCUAACACAUGCAAGUCGAACGGCAGCACAGUAAGAGCUUGCUCUUACGGGUGGCGAGUAGCGGACGGGUGAGGAAUACAUCGGAAUCUACUUUUUCGGGGGGGAUAACGUAGGGAAACUUACGCUAAUACCGCAUACGACCUACGGGUGAAAGCAGGGGAUCUUCGGACCUUGCGCGAUUGAAUGAGCCGAUGUCGGAUUAGCUAGUUGGCGGGGUAAAGGCCCACCAAGGCGACGAUCCGUAGCUGGUCUGAGAGGAUGAUCGGCCACACUGGAACUGAGACACGGUCCAGACUCCUACGGGAGGCAGCAGUGGGGAAUAUUGGACAAUGGGCGCAAGCCUGAUCCAGCCAUACCGCGUGGGUGAAGAAGGCCUUCGGGUUGUAAAGCCCUUUUGUUGGGAAAGAAAAGCAGCAGGUUAAUACCCCGAUGUUCUGACGGUACCCAAAGAAUAAGCACCGGCUAACUUCGUG
rnacentral:rRNA from 1 species